UUGAGCCGGAUGAUGAAAAAUUAUCAUGUCCGGUUCCUUUGGGGGAUGGAUCUAGAAAAAUUCAAUCGAAUCAAAU
rfam:Gossypium arboreum cultivar AKA8401 contig_84170_1, whole genome shotgun sequence.